AGAAAUUCAGUGGCUGAGAAACUUAGUGAUUCUAGUUUGUUCAGUCGAAAUGCUAGAACCAAAAGAAACAUACUUAAUGAAUCUCUAGAUGUUGCUGAGGCUUCAAAUGUUAGUGUUACUUGCAACACACUGAAAAUUCCACUUUCUUCUUCAGAUGGAAAUUCCUUUUCAACAAAUUUCACAGUAAACAUAAGACAUUCAGAAGAAGAAGGCAUGUACUUAACCUUUAUUUCCAUCGCUGUUUCAAUGACGAAAUAAUUCCCAUUAACCUAACCAUUGAGGUUACCGAAACCAACGGUGAUAUAAACUACCUAUCAGCUGAAACGGCAUGGAACUUUUUGCUGUUCCUCUUACAAAAGUAACUGGAUCGCGUUCGACGGCCGAUCGUUUCGCUU